GGGGAAUUUUGGACAAUGGGGGAAACCCUGAUCCAGCAAUGCCGCGUGUGUGAAGAAGGCCUUCGGGUUGUAAAGCACUUUUGUUCGGAACGAAACGGCGCCGGCUAAUACCUGGCGCUAAUGACGGUACCGGAAGAAUAAGCACCGGCUAACUACGUGCCAGCAGCCGCGGUAAUACGUAGGGUGCAAGCGUUAAUCGGAAUUACUGGGCGUAAAGCGAGCGCAGGCGGUUAUGUAAGACAGAUGUGAAAUCCCCGGGCUUAACCUGGGAACUGCAUUUGUGACUGCAUGGCUAGAGUGUGUCAGAGGGGGGUGGAAUUCCACGUGUAGCAGUGAAAUGCGUAGAGAUGUGGAGGAACACCGAUGGCGAAGGCAGCCCCCUGGGAUAACACUGACGCUCAUGCUCGAAAGCGUGGGGAGCAAAC
rnacentral:rRNA from 1 species